UACGGGGGGGGCAAGCGUUGUUCGGAAUUACUGGGCGUAAAGCGCACGUAGGCGGCUUUGUAAGUUAGAGGUGAAAGCCCGGGGCUCAACUCCGGAAUUGCCUUUAAGACUGCAUCGCUCGAAUUGUGGAGAGGUAAGUGGAAUUCCGAGUGUAGAGGUGAAAUUCGUAGAUAUUCGGAAAAACACCAGUGGCGAAGGCGACUUACUGGACACAUAUUGACGCUGAGGUGCGAAAGCGUGGGGAGCAAACAGG
rnacentral:rRNA from 1 species